AAUUCCUAAUCUUUCUGUCUAAGCUUUCCAGGUGCUGGGAUGUCAGGACCGCACCACCACAUCCAACAAUAAACUUUACUUGAAUUUAAAAUAACUAAUGACAAAUAGCAGCAAGGAAAUCAUCUCUAAGAUUAUAAUUACAAAAGUGGUAUGAAGUUCUCACUCCAGAUAUUCAUUGAAGUAAGAAAGUGGAAGACACUGGAGGAGGACAGAUGCAAGCUCCCAAACCCGUCAUCCAC
rnacentral:lncRNA from 1 species